UACGGAGGGUGCAAACGUUGCUCGGAAUCAUUGGGCGUAAAGCGCACGUAGGCGGACUGUUAAGUCGGACGUGAAAUCCCUCAGCUUAACUGAGGAAGUGCAUUCGAAACUGGCAGUCUUGAGUACGGGAGAGGGUCGCGGAAUUCCCCAAGUAGAGGUGAAAUUCGUAGAUAUGGGGAGGAACACCGGUGGCGAAGGCGGCCACCUGGACGGUCACUGACGCUGAGACGCGAAAGCGUGGGUAGCAAACAGG
rnacentral:rRNA from 1 species